rnacentral:lncRNA from 1 species
AUGUAUGGGAACAGGACUCUCUCCCAUGAAGGUAGAAUGUCACUCAUAAGUCAACAUCUGGGGUGUGGGGCUCCCCAAAGCCAGGCCCGGAAGAGGCCAGCAGUCAGAGGGUCCAGAAGCCCCAGCAUCCCCCAGCUCAGGCCUCAGAUCCAGACCCAGGGCGCGGGCAGGGCAGAGCCAGGGGAAGGGAGGCCAGGCGGCACUCCCACCCCACCCUCUGGCCGCCACACCUCAGCGUCCAGGAGCACCAACCCUGUCAGGACACCUCUGCUGCUGGCCUUAAGCGGGGUCCAGACACCACCGGCCACCUCCAAGGACACUGCUGGGAGAAGAGACUGCCCUGACACUGGGGGUGUCCCCAGACUGUGGGCCCUUAUAGGCUCCAAAAACACCACGGCACAGCCACGGGGCACGCCAGUCUCCGAGCCCCGCGCUUGGCACCACGUACCCAGUGGGACCGCUAGCCGCCAGGCUCCCAGGCUUCCUCCCCAAAGCCCACCGCACUUUGCUUGGAUUGCAGAGACACCCAUGACGUCAGGGUGGAAGAAACCGGUGCCCAAGUGCCCCCAAGCACCCCAGGCACACGUGCUGCUCAGAGGAGGGAAGCAUCUGUCUGGCCUGGCGGAGCUCCUGAAAGAUGAGCUCUGCCGCCCCCUCGAGCCUCAGGCCGGCUGUGCUGGCAGAAGCUCGGGAAGGCGGGCACCAGGGCCCCCUCCUGUCACUCAGACAUAUGGGAUAGUCAUUGCCAGAGGAAGCGGCCCCGCAGCCCCCACUGCGGCUCCAGGCCAGGCCGCCGGCUGGGCUGGGAGGAGCGCCUCCCUGUGGGCAGGCCCGGGCCCCUCCCCCGCCUCUGCACUCCAUUUACAACCAUCAUCGAUUUCUCAAAAUACCAAAUAUAAAAAAGUAGCCGACAGGAUGUGGCUGCCGACAGCCAGAGCCCCUGGGAGGGGGGAGACAGGCAGGGAGCCGCACCGCGCAGGCCCCCCUUCACCGUGUGCGCCCGCUGCUCCGGCCAGGAAACCAAUUUAUUUUGUUUUGUCUCUGUUCUCUGAACGCACAGAGACCAGAUCGGGCGGGCAGCCAAGGCUCCUGCAGCCGCUGCCAAGAGAGCGCGAGCACGGGGGUGGAGGCUGA